UUGCGCAGGCACUUUGGUGACUCUAGAUAACCUCGGGCCGAUCGCACGUCCCCGUGACGGUGACGACGCAUUCAGAGGUUUGCCCUAUCAACUUUCGAUGUUACUUUCUGCGCCUACCAUGGAUAACGGGGAAUCAGGGUUCGAUUCCGGAGAGGAAGCCUGAGAAAUGGCUACCACAUCACAGGAAGGCACCAGGUGCGCAAAUUACCCACUCCCGAUGCGGGAAGGUAGUGACGAAA